AAAGAUAUAGCAUAUUCUUCUGAAUAUACUUUAUUAACCCAUUCUGAGUACCUUACCCAUUGCUUCCGCGAGGCUGUCCUCACGGCCCUCUGAAGAUUUAUCUUUGGGGAGUCCUUGCGGAAGGUAUACAAUAAACUCUUGCAUUACCAUGUCAUCUGUCUGAAUCUGUUUAAAACAAAUAUUA
rnacentral:misc_RNA from 1 species